UUUCAGUUAUAGACUUGUUUCUUUAAACAGAACGUUAUAGGGAAAUAGAGGAUGUAGAACAGAGCAAAGCAAACCUACUGGGGCCACAAGCUACCGCGGUCACAGUACGUGACUGGGAUCCUCGCCCAGGUUUCAGAAAGCACCAUAUGAAAACCCCUGGGCCGAGUCAGCCCCCCUGGGGAAACUGAGGCAUGGAGCAGCGCUCUGGUCAGUCUGGUACCACACUGAAUCCCCAGCACCUCCCCGGGCUCUGGCACGUACUAGGUGCUCAGUGAGUAUUGGCCGGAUAGUAACACACGGGAGAUACUGACCGCCUCUGCUUGGUCAUCUGUUUUACUACACAGGCGACUGCUUUUUAAAGAGACUACAGGGGGGGCUGCAACCACAGAGAGGCCCCUAAUUGCCUGUGUUUUGAACUUAUAGCAGUUGAAAGGGUUUUAUUCUCUGAUCUAAAUGGCAAGAACAAAAGCAGAGCAUAAAAGGGCCGAAGAGGAUGAAAAGAAACCACAAAUGGUAUCCAAGAUGGCGGUGCCCUUUGUUGUCAGGCACCCAAGCUACUCCAGAGUUCUCGGCCCCACAGAUGCAUAUCCAUCACCAUGGCAACAACCAAGCGCCCGGGGCCUCCCGACCCAGGACAUCCCAGGGCUGGCCACACUGCCUGGCUUCCAGGGAGCUGGAUCAGGGUCACAGGGGCUACGGCUGAUGCGCUGGGAGGGGACCUGAUGCCCAGUGGAGACGGGACUGGACCUCUGUCUGGAGAAGAUGUUGGAAAAGUCAGCAGCUGUGGCCCAGGUCAGAGCAAUGCAUCCAGCAGCCCACAGACUAGUGUCGUAGGAGUCACUCCUCCUGCCCACCCCCCAUCCAAGCAGCAGCUACUCUUUCAGUGACAAGGCAAGACACUCAAACCCCAGAGGUAAGCAGGACCACAGGGGCUGUCCUGACCAAUCCUCUCCUCCAAGGGACCCAGAAGGAGGCUUCCAGUUGUCUGAGUCACUGAGCAGAGCAGGGUAACAGCCAGAACUAGCAUUCAGCGAGGUCUCAUGACUCCCAGACCUCUGUCCCCAGUGGCCCAUCCGGAGACCCUCCCCAAGCCUCUUCCUGUCCCAGGUGGCCUGGCCCUGGCCCUCCCCGCUUGGGACAAUAGUUCUCAACCCCACCAGAUGAGAAUUACCUGAAUGUGGUGUGAGAAACACAAAGCAAACUACAGCCGGGCAACACAGCUGUUCCUGGGCACCACUCACAGAGCCUCCGACCUAGUGGAGACAGAACAUCUGCGCAUCAUAGAAGCUUCCAGAUGUCUUUCUCACAAGCUUCAGACAGUCUGUUUUCCGGAGGGAGGCUGGUAGAUCGGGAAAGAAGUGUCCAAGGUGAAGGGGCCCUCAUGGUGGAAUUAUUAACACCUGUUAAGUGGCCAGGACUCAAGUGCUAACAUUUCAGGCCCUGACAUCAGCUUGGCAGGACGUGUGCUUUGAGGAGCUGGGGACAGCGGUCCUUGGUGGCCCCCACUCUGGGGGUCAUGGCCAGGACAGGAGUCCAAAGCGCCCUCUCUAGACAGCUGCUCCGAGGAUGAAGAUCCAAGAUGCUCCCUCUCCAGACGUCCGCGGCGGGGGGACAGAGGUCUGAGGAGCCUCCUCCUUGGGAACCGCGGUGAGGACAGAAGUCCGAGGCACCCGAUCUCAGAGGGCCACGGCAGAAGACAGGGGCCCAGGCUCCCUUUCGUGGGGGGACCACCCCUGCAGACAAUCCCUCCCGGAGGCCUCUUCCUCCCAGGCAUGGAGCGGCGGGCGCGCCACCUGCUGGCCUCCGAGCGCGGGGCCCGCGCGGUCUGGUGGCGCCACCUGCUGGCCACUCUGGGGAGCGCGGGCUGGCUGGCCGGCCGACCCCGGGGGCAGCCUCGCAGGCAGACGCCGCGCUAAUGUCUGGGAGAGAACUUCAUUUUCUUCUGUUUAAAACAAAAAUUGGUGGGGGGCAGGGGAGAGCAGGGCUAACGCCACCCUGGGCUGGGCUGGGGGACAACUGGACAGGACCACCUCUCAGCUGCACGGUCAGCGCCUCCCACCAAAGGCUUUGGUCCAGGUGCCCGGAGGUGGGAGACAGGCUGUGAGCUGGGCCAGAGAGGUUCUGCCCCCUGAGUGCGAGACGCAGGAGGUGCUCACCGAAGUACCCCCUUCUGCCUCCUGUCCAGAAGCUUCGAGGCACCUUCCAGGCCCUCUAAUUCCCCAGGCAGACUCUAGCCCAGCUGAGACCCCUCAGCCCUCUCUGGAGCCCCGUGCUGCCGGGGAGUUUGAUCACGAUCCCCCAGGUGAGGCCCCGCCAGGCGGGAAGCAGCCGCCUCUGAUCACAACAGACACCCUGCGCGUGGAGAAGACAGAGUGUUAGCUCUUUGGGGGACAAGGUCCCUUCCAGUCUGCAGGAGGCCUUCCUGACCAGGGGGCCUGCCCCUUCAGUACCCUUUCCCCUUUCCGGGAGACCUUAUGCCUUCCCCCAGGUGGCUGUCCCCACAGACUAUCAGGGAGGCUGUGAAUACAGUAGUUAGAGGCGUGGUUUCCCACCUUGAGAAUCAAACACUCUGAGUCAAACAUCAGAAGCAUCUGGAGGCCUUGUUAAAACACCGCUGAGCUCACUGCCCAGGCUUUUGAUCCAGUAGGUCUCGGAUGGAGUCGGAGAACGUGCAUGUCUGACAAGCCCCCCGGGGAUGCUGAUGCAAGCGGUCCACUGAGAACCGAGAGUCGGACUAGACCUGGGUGUCAUUCCGGGCUUCGCCACUUACUAGCGGGGGGUCCCGGAGCUAAUUCCUUGACCUCAGCCUCCUCACUUGUAACGUGGGGACCUUUCUCUCAGUGCUGCGGGAAGCGUCAGAUACGAUGGCGCACGUGAGGACUCAGCACGGGGGCCCGGAUGUGGUGGGUGUGCGGGAAGGGGUGGCCACCCUCCGUGGCAUUUGUGUGCACCUAAGACCUGCCCGCAGUUCCCCGAUAUGGGGCCGGCGCUGCGGAGGGGGGCUGGGGGAUUACAGGGAGUAAGAACGAUAAUGAUGGACAAGGCACGAUCAUUUAGACCCGGGUUUGGAGAGCGUCCAGCUGCAGUACUCUAACAGAGGAAGGGAUCACAGUGGGUGCAGUGGGAGCCCGGGGGAGACCACGGUGACCACUCCCAGUAGUCAGGUGUCACUACGCGGAGGAGGUGCCAUGGGGGCUGCACCUCGAAGGUAAGCCUCCAUCCAUCCUGGAAGAGAGAAGGGCAUGCAGGCCAAGAACGCGGCUAGUGCCGUGAUUCUCCACUCUGACCACACACUGGGGUCACCCCAAACCCACCGGCACCCCAGAUCAAUGACUGAAUCUCUUGGAGAGUGGAGGGAGACAUGUGAAGUCUUGGAAGCUCCUUGGGUUUCAGAGUAUAGGCAAGGUUGAGAACCCCCAAGCAAAGCCUUGGAGGAAUGAAUUCACAUUCCUGCACAGGGAGGAAGCAGUGUAUAACCCAAGGCGGCUGGAAUGUGGGGCGCAGGCAGGCAAGAAAUGAAAGGCAGGAAGGCGGGCUGGGCCAUUUCCCAGAACUGCAGAAGAAUACCCACUAGCAAGUGAAAUAAGCCAAUGAUCAUGAGGUUGAAUUUGCAUAAAACUGCACGUUUGCCUUUUAACAGCCUCAAGAAGGGCGUGACUGAGAGAUUGGACACCGCCUGUAAAUACCUCCGUGUUUCAGAGGACAUACCUGAUUCUGUUUGGAAUCCUCUUUGAGGCUGGAAAGCCGCAAUCACUCAAUGAAUAUUUGUAGAACUGAGCGAACCUUGAACAGCCCUUCGGUCCCAUCGCUGAUCUCAUUUGAGUAGCCAGUCUGGAUUUACCUUUGAGUUCAAGGCGCCCUGCUGCAUCUGGGCCGCUGUGAUUUCAGGGAUGUUGAGAAACUCCAUGGAAACCCUAGUCCUGGUAGCUACUGCCUGAGAUCCCACUUUUGGGGCUAUUUAUGUCCUUCAGGGGUUGUCGCUCACAUCCUGUAAAUUCCAUUUCCUGAGGUGGGUCUUAAUGAGUUGAAGGGGCAGAAACCUAAUAGUUGGGGGGAAGAGGAGGAAAGAUCCAGAAAGGAAGAUCCAAGACCCAUCUGAGAUCUGGCCCUUGGCACUGGCCUGAACCCAAAGCAGACCAGAGAAGCUUCAAAAGAUAGGUGUUUCCUUUCUGUUCUAAUUGGAACCUCCCGGACUUUGUAUUGGGUUUUGCAUUUUUUGUGCUACCACUUACCCAGGGUCUGACUAAUUUUGUUAAUCACAGGAUUCCCAAGAUUCCCGCAAAGAAGCUGUCAAGAAACUUGGAUUCUCUGCAAUCAGACAUUUCUCAUGACCAACCAAGGAAAUGGGAAGACCUUUACAGUGCUCCAUGCAUGUGCCAACUAGUUCCUACACUGACUUGUGACAUCCUCUCCCCGGCCGGGGUCCCCAGGGGGGGUCACUCCAAGACAAGGAUUUGUGUGCAAGUGGGUUAUUCGGGGGUGAUCUCAAGGGGAAUGGAGAAACGACACGGAGAAGAAGGAGGGCCAAUGCAGGGGGUGCUGAUAAGUAACCGAGGCGCGAUUCCACUGGGGAGUGCCGACCCCUUCCUCCACCAACGAUCACCCAAGUCAACAUUUUCACAUGCCCGCUCAUUCAGGAGCCACUCUGGUGGGAACACGGGUCUACACAGAAUCGGGCAGUUGAACUAUCCCAGGCCCCCGUGAACACAGGUGACAGUCACGUUUCGUGGCACCAGUGUACCUUACAUGGGCUGAGAUUGGGCUGACCCCGCACACACGCAU